AGUGGGUACAGUGUCUGUGACUUCAAAUGCUGGAAGGAGAAGGUGUCUUUGAGAGGGAUAGAGGGGCAUCACCCCAUGUUGCUGUGCUGAUCUGCUCCCCACCACAUCCAGGAGUGGAUCUCACAUUUUCCACAAGAGGGGUCUGCAUAUGUUUCCACCACCCUGUAGAAGGCCAUCUGUGUGGUGGUCUCAAGCCUGUCCAGCACAGUGCCCAUCCGUGCCUGUUUGCUGCACAACUCACAGAUAUUCCCUAUGCUUUGUGUAAGGCCCACCUGCAUCCUUGUAAGCUCACCUGGGCCAGCUGUGAAUGAGUUAAGCACCAAAGUGUGAAUAGAUAUCAGGAAACUCUGUAAGGAUUUCAGUGAAGAACAGUGAAAUGUGACCAGAAUAACCAAGUAAUGACCAACCCCCUAAGUUAUCAGAAAGAUAAAAAGGAUUAAAGUGGCACUUUGAAAUAUAGUUCAGAGUGUGGAACAUACCCAAGAAAAUAUUUUUGAAGAGAAAAAAGCAUUUAUAAACUACAUAGAGAUUAGCAAAGUGCUGUUAAAGGAGGUGGUUGAAAGGUACUCCGGUGUAUUUUUAGGGGCUUAUCAUGUCGUACUGAAAAUCUCUGCAAAUGUACUCAUGGUGUAUGAGAAGGAGAAAAGGAAGUGUUUUAUCACAUCCACUACUUCCUCUGCUGCCUUCAGCCAACUUUUUAGGGUCUCCACCUUGUGAGGUGAAAAGCUGAAAAAAGCAUUAAUUUGGAAAACAAAACAAAACUUGACGUGGAAACAAAUCCACUUCUGCUGAAACUUUCAUUUUUCACAAGUCAGCAAGUUCUGAGGCAAAAAUACUUCCCUGACACUUCUGUGACCUUAGGAAGGGUGGCUGUAUCUGCGGGCUCCUGGGUGAGCACUCCCCACGGCACGAAGCAGUGCUCAGUAAUUGCCAGUGUGGUGGCACCAGUGUGCUGGUCUGUGGGGCACGAGCUGCUCUGCUCUCCCAUCCCUGCUGGAAACUGGGCUCUGCAGCCACAGCAGGCUCUGCUCCACUCAGCUGAGCAUUAAGCACGUGCUGAACAGAAGCAUGUGAGUCAUCCUGCUGACAUGAACUUGAGCUGAUGAACAGCAAGUAGGGGAAGAGAAAUAACAAAUACUUUUCUUCAUGCAUGAAGCCCUUUGGUUGUGCAGGGAUGCUGUUAUCUGUGUGAGUAAUGCCAUAUCCAGCAAUGUUUGUCUGAAUGCCUGAGGAGAAAUGGGAAAAGGGCAGGGUGCUGAUACCACAGAAUUGUAGCUCUUGGAAAUUUUACAGUUAAGGUCAUUGACAAAUAUUUUUGUUACUUGGUCAUCUCUUAUAAGGACCAUAAAUAAAAUUUUCUAGCAUGCCUACUUUCUUUGACUUUACAUUCCAAACAGGUCUAAGCCCAGUUUCUACUUCUCCCUUCUUAGUAUUAUAAUUGCACCUUUAGUUGUUCUGUGGUGGCACUAAACUUUUCUCAGCCCCAAGAGUUUUGGGGAGACUGUGAUAUGCACAUCCAGUGUUUGUCAGUUUGGACAUCCCCAGCAAGAAAUAAACCCUAGGUCAUCUAAUUAAUAACCUUAAGUAUUACCACCUUUUUAUUUGUUAGAAUAUUAUUUGCCACCAUUUCUGAAAAUAAGAGUGUCUUCCUUUGCUGAGACCCUCAUUCCGUGCUCCAAAGGAAGCUUAGGUGGCCAAAUAUCUACUUCUACAGAUAUUAUUGACAGGAAGUAAAAUUUGAAUAUGUAGAAACAGAUGUCUGUAGGCACAUAGGGAGCUUUGUAAAAUAAUAAAUCCCUAAGAAAUUCUGGCUGCUUUUGAGUUAGGUAGUGACCAGGGAAAAAGAAUUUAGAAUAGGAUUUAGUGUUAAGGCUACUCAAGCCCCAUUGUGUACACCUACAUCAUUUGCUGUAUCUAGCCUGUGGGGAUGUGCUAAAUUUCAUUUUACAGUCACUUUUGUUUUCCUCUUCUCUUUCUGAGGAUGAUAGUUUUUAAAAAGAACAUUGGAUGUCAUAACCAUUUUUGGUACAUGGGAUCUUAAAGGAGAUAGACUGUGAUGUGAAUUCCUAAAAACUGGUUGUGAUCCAAGUUCGUGUUCUUAGCUUGUUUUUCAUUUU